rnacentral:rRNA from 1 species
UACAGAGGUCUCAAGCGUUGUUCGGAUUCAUUGGGCGUAAAGGGUGUGUAGGUGGCGCCGUAAGUCGGGUGUGAAAUUUCGGAGCUUAACUCCGAAACUGCAUUCGAUACUGCGGUGCUUGAGGACUGGAGAGGAGACUGGAAUUCAUGGUGUAGCAGUGAAAUGCGUAGAGAUCAUGAGGAAGACCAGUGGCGAAGGCGGGUCUCUGGGCAGUUCCUGACACUGAGAUACGAAGGCCAGGGGAGCAAACGGG